rnacentral:rRNA from 1 species
UACGUAGGUGGCAAGCGUUGUCCGGAAUUAUUGGGCGUAAAGCGCGCGCAGGCGGUCCUUUAAGUCUGAUGUGAAAGCCCACGGCUCAACCGUGGAGGGUCAUUGGAAACUGGGGGACUUGAGUACAGAAGAGAAGAGUGGAAUUCCACGUGUAGCGGUGAAAUGCGUAGAGAUGUGGAGGAACACCAGUGGCGAAGGCGACUCUGUGGUCUGUAACUGACGCUGAGGAGCGAAAGCGUGGGGAGCAAACAGG